GGUCUGUGGCUCAGUGGUAGAGCACUCGCCUCGCACGUUCGAGACCCUGGGUUCAAUCCUCCGCACCA
rnacentral:tRNA from 1 species